AUGAACGCUGGCGGCGUGCUUAACACAUGCAAGUCGAACGGAAAGGCCCAAGCUUGCUUGGGUACUCGAGUGGCGAACGGGUGAGUAACACGUGGGUGAUCUGCCCUGCACUUCGGGAUAAGCCUGGGAAACUGGGUCUAAUACCGGAUAGGACGAUGGUUUGGAUGCCAUUGUGGAAAGUUUUUUCGGUGUGGGAUGAGCUCGCGGCCUAUCAGCUUGUUGGUGGGGUAAUGGCCUACCAAGGCGUCGACGGGUAGCCGGCCUGAGAGGGUGUACGGCCACAUUGGGACUGAGAGACGGCCCAGACUCCUACGGGAGGCAGCAGUGGGGAAUAUUGCACAAUGGGGGCAGGCCUGAUGCAGCGACGCCGCGUGGGGGAUGACGGCCUUCGGGUUGUAAACUCCUUUCGCUAGGGACGAAGCGUUUUUGUGACGGUACCUGGAGAAGAAGCACCGGCUAACUACGUG
rnacentral:rRNA from 1 species